rnacentral:sRNA from 1 species
CGGACAGGGGGGUUCCCGCCCACCGGGCGGGGCCUGUCCGACCGGCCGCGCGGACAGCGCGGCCAGUGGUUGUCGCUCGGGGGUGAACGCCG